ACUUUUUUAACGCGGUUAUAUUAAUAAUCGACUUAAAACAUACUACAAUAACAUAACAUACGGUGCGUUUGUGUAAGGCAUAUUUAUUGCAACUUUUUAGCUUCCACCUUUGUUAACUAUUCUAUUAUAAAUCUUUCGUAUUCUCUAACAAUAUUUUCAUCACACUCAUCGCCCAACUCAGUUUUUAUCGUCGUCAAUCAGUUUCAUCGCCACCUUUUUCAGCCAAACCGCUUCACGCCACCUUUUUCACAAUCGCCAAACAGCUUUAUCGCCACCAUUUCAGAUCUUUGAUGACUCGAGAUCAAUUCACCCGGAUCAAAGUAAAGAAGUUCGAAAAUGUUGUGUGAAUUUUAUUUUGAAAUUAAUUGAAGAAAAUAAUGAUACUAAUAUAUGUCUAUUGAAUAUUGCUAUAUUGUGAUUUUGUAAUUUUGUUAAUGGAUAUCUAAUUUUUUUUUCCCGUGUUGUCAAGAUUAGUCGGAAAUGAGAUACAUGUACUCUUAUAUUUUUUUGUAUAAA